rnacentral:rRNA from 1 species
GGAAUAUUGGGCAAUGGAUGCAAGUCUGACCCAGCCAUGCCGCGUGCCGGAUGAAGGCCCUCAGGGUUGUAAACGGCUUUUAUUCGGGAAGAAGAGCGGGGAUGCGUCCCUGUGUGACGGUACCGAAUGAAUAAGCACCGGCUAACUCCGUGCCAGCAGCCGCGGUAAUACGGAGGGUGCGAGCGUUGUCCGGAUUUAUUGGGUUUAAAGGGUGCGUAGGUGGCUGAUUAAGUCAGUGGUGAAAUACAGCCGCUCAACGGUUGAGGUGCCAUUGAUACUGAUUAGCUUGAAAUAAUUGGAGGCUGCCGGAAUGGAUGGUGUAGCGGUGAAAUGCAUAGAUAUCAUCCAGAACACCGAUUGCGAAGGCAGGUGGCUACGAUUUAUUUGACACUGAGGCACGAAAGCAUGGGGAGCAAACAGGAUUAGAUACCCCUG